rnacentral:rRNA from 1 species
AUGAAGCCCUUCGGGGUGGAUUAGUGGCGAACGGGUGAGUAACACGUGGGCAAUCUGCCCUUCACUCUGGGACAAGCCCUGGAAACGGGGUCUAAUACCGGAUAACACUCUGUCCCGCAUGGGACGGGGUUAAAAGCUCCGGCGGUGAAGGAUGAGCCCGCGGCCUAUCAGCUUGUUGGUGGGGUAAUGGCCUACCAAGGCGACGACGGGUAGCCGGCCUGAGAGGGCGACCGGCCACACUGGGACUGAGACACGGCCCAGACUCCUACGGGAGGCAGCAGUGGGGAAUAUUGCACAAUGGGC